rnacentral:rRNA from 1 species
GACGAACGCUGGCGGCGUGCUUAACACAUGCAAGUCGAACGGGCCUUGUCCCCUUUUUUUUGGGGGUGGGGUUAGUGGCGAACGGGUGAGUAACACGUGAGUAACCUGCCCCUCACUUCUGGAUAACCGCUUGAAAGGGUGGCUAAUACGGGGUGUUCUGGCCUGCUCGCAUGGGUGGGUUUGGAAAGAUUCGACCGGUUUUGGUUGUUUUGGUGGGGGAUGGGCUCGCGGCCUAUCAGCUUGUUGGUGGGGUGAUGGCCUGCCAAGGCUUUGACGGGUAGCCGGCCUGAGAGGGUGGGCGGUCGCACUGGGACUGAGACACGGCCCAGACUCCUACGGGAGGCAGCAGUGGGGAAUAUUGCACAAUGGGCGCAAGCCUGAUGCAGCGACGCCGCGUGAGGGAUGGAGGCCUUCGGGUUGGGAACCUCUUUCGCCAGUGAAGAAGGUCCUGCUCUUUGUGGUGGGGUUGACGGUAGCUGGGUUAAUGAAGCGCCGGCUAACUACGUG